UAAAGAAAUAUACAUAGUUCCCAGGACAGGAGGUAUGAACUAAAGAAAUAGUCCAUUCUAACAGUUUAGUACAAAGAUGUUUCCAUGGCUUCAAAGACAAAUAUCUGUAUCAGAGCAACCCUAUGCCUGCCUGGGAGGAUCUCAACAUACAGUCUGAUCCUGAAGAGAAAAAAAGUGGCACAGAAUCAUGACGAGAGCUUGAUUUGAAAGCAUAGAAUGAAAAAUUACACGCAUCUCACUGGAAGAAAUAUUGCUUUAACCACUUGGAGGUGGAAGGACCACGAGGAACCGAGCGACUCUGCAAAUAGGGGAUGUUUACAUGAAGUUCUGGCCACUUCACUGAACCUUGUUAAUGCCCCUGGAUAACAUGGAGGUUAGGCCAGUCUCCAG